GAUGAACGCUGGCGGCGUGCCUAAUACAUGCAAGUCGAGCGAACAGACGAGGAGCUUGCUCCUCUGACGUUAGCGGCGGACGGGUGAGUAACACGUGGAUAACCUACCUAUAAGACUGGGAUAACUUCGGGAAACCGGAGCUAAUACCGGAUAAUAUAUUGAACCGCAUGGUUCAAUAGUGAAAGACGGUUUUGCUGUCACUUAUAGAUGGAUCCGCGCCGCAUUAGCUAGUUGGUAAGGUAACGGCUUACCAAGGCGACGAUGCGUAGCCGACCUGAGAGGGUGAUCGGCCACACGGGAGCUGAGACACGGUCCAGACUCCUACGGGAGGCAGCAGUAGGGAAUCUUCCGCAAUGGGCGAAAGCCUGACGGAGCAACGCCGCGUGAGUGAUGAAGGUCUUCGGAUCGUAAAACUCUGUUAUUAGGGAAGAACAAAUGUGUAAGUAACUAUGCACGUCUUGACGGUACCUAAUCAGAAAGCCACGGCUAACUACGUG
rnacentral:rRNA from 1 species